GACGAACCGUGCGAACGUUAUUCGGAAUCACUGGGCUUAAAGGGCGCGUAGGCGGCUUACCAAGUCAGGGGUGAAAUCCGGCAGCUUAACUGUCGAAGUGCCUUUGAUACUGGUGAGCUCGAGGGAGGUAGGGGUCCGUGGAACUUCCGGUGGAGCGGUGAAAUGCGUUGAUAUCGGAAGGAACGCCGGUGGCGAAAGCGACGGACUGGAUCUCUUCUGACGCUGAGGCGCGAAAGCUAGGGGAGCAAACGGG
rnacentral:rRNA from 1 species